GAUGAACGCUGGCGGCGCGCCUAAUACAUGCAAGUCGAGCGAACGGACGAGAAGCUUGCUUCUCUGAUGUUAGCGGCGGACGGGUGAGUAACACGUGGAUAACCUACCUAUAAGACUGGGAUAACUUCGGGAAACCGGAGCUAAUACCGGAUAAUAUUUUGAACCGCAUGGUUCAAAAGUGAAAGACGGUCUUGCUGUCACUUAUAGAUGGAUCCGCGCUGCAUUAGCUAGUUGGUAAGGUAACGGCUUACCAAGGCAACGAUGCAUAGCCGACCUGAGAGGGUGAUCGGCCACACUGGAAGUGAGACACGGUCCAGACUCCUACGGGAGGCAGCAGUAGGGAAUCUUCCGCAAUGGGCGAAAGCCUGACGGAGCAACGCCGCGUGAGUGAUGAAGGUCUUCGGAUCGUAAAACUCUGUUAUUAGGGAAGAACAUAUGUGUAAGUAACUGUGCACAUCUUGACGGUACCUAAUCAGAAAGCCACGGCUAACUACGUG
rnacentral:rRNA from 1 species